CUUGUGGUCAAGUCCUCUAUGACCUUGGCCGGGCCCUGACCUUCAGACCUUGCCUGCAACAUGAGGCAACUACAGGAAGUGACCUCACACAGUCUUUCCAUCUAAAACUUUUGUGAUUUGUUGUGUGUCUGGGAAUGCGGGGAUGCCGGAAAAUCACUACAUUGGGAUCUACAAGCUGGGGAAGUGAGGGCUUGAGAGAGACAAAGGUCUGGAGGGAUCCUUGUGGGAACAAGAGCCAAGAGGGUCUGGGGUCUUGCUGGGUCUUGCUGGGGAGCUAGACACCUCCCUGCAGGCAACAGUGAGCCACAGGGAAGGAAGAGGAGGCUAGUCCAUAGUGAGGUUCCUCUACUCGUGUGAAUGGGAUAGAACGUCCCUUCCCACUCAUCUGGGCCAGAUUCUCACUGCCAUGUCC
rnacentral:lncRNA from 1 species